rnacentral:rRNA from 1 species
UAAGUCAGGCAACGAGCGAGACCCGUGCCCACUGUUACCAGCAUGUCCUCCGGGAUGAUGGGUACUCUGUGGGGACCGCCGGUGUUAAAUCGGAGGAAGGUGCGGGCCACGGUAGGUCAGUAUGCCCCGAAUUUCCCGGGCUACACGCGGGCUACAAUGAAUGGGACAAUGGGUCCCUACCCUGAAAAGGGCUGGUAAUCUCACAAACCCAUCCGUAGUUCGGAUCGAGGGCUGUAACUCGCCCUCGUGAAGCUGGAAUCCGUAGUAAUCGCGUUUCAAUAUAGCGCGGUGAAUACGUCCCUGCUCCUUGCACA